ACAGGUGUAGCAAUACAUGCUGACGAGCGGCGGACGGGCGAGCAAUGUUUGGGAAUCUGCCUAUUAGUGGGGGACAACCCGGGGAAACUCGGGCUAAUACCGCAUACGCACUACGGUGGAAAGCCGGGGACCGCAAGGCCUGGCGCUAAUAGAUGAGCCCAAAUCGGAUUAGCUAGUUGGUGGGGUAACGGCCCACCAAGGCGACGAUCCGUAGCUGGUCUGAGAGGACGACCAGCCACACCGGAACUGAGACACGGUCCGGACUCCUACGGGAGGCAGCAGUGGGGAAUAUUGGACAAUGGGCGAAAGCCUGAUCCAGCGACGCCGCGUGGGUGAAGAAGGCCUGCGGGUUGUAAAGCCCUUUCGGUGGGGAAGAAAAGCCUCGUUUUAAUACAACGGGGUCUUGACGUAACCCAAGAAAGAAGCACCGGCUAACUCUGUGCCAGCAGCCGCGGUAAUACAGAGGGUGCGAGCGUUAAUCGGAAUUACUGGGCGUAAAGCGCGCGUAGGCGGCUUUGCAAGUCGGGUGUGAAAUCCCCAGGAUUAACCUGGGAACUGCAUUCGAGACUGCAUUGCUAGAGUAUGGGAGAGGGAAGUGGAAUUUCAGGUGUAGCGGUGAAAUGCGUAGAUAUCUGAAGGAACAUCAGUGGCGAAAGCGACUUCCUGGACCAAUACUGACGCUCAUGUGCGAAAGCGUGGGGAGCAAACAGGAUUAGAUACCCUGGUAGUCCACGCCAUAAACGAUGACAACUGGAUGUCGGGAGGGUCUGCCUCUCGGUGUCGUAGCUAACGCGUUAAGUUGUCCGCCUGGGGAGUACGGCCGCAAGGUU
rnacentral:rRNA from 1 species